GUAGGUGGCAAGCGUUGUCCGGGAAUUAUUGGGGCGUAAAGCGCGCGCAGGCGGUUCUUUAAGUCUGAUGUGAAAGCCCACGGGCUCAACCGUGGAGGGUCAUUGGAAACUGGAGAACUUGAGUACAGAAGAGGAAAGCGGAAUUCCACGUGUAGCGGUGAGAUGCGUAGAGAUGUGGAGGAACACCAGUGGCGAAGGCGGCUUUCUGGUCUGUAACUGACGCUGAGGCGCAAAAGCGUGGGGAGCAAACAGGAUUAGAUACCCUGGUAGUCCACGCCGUAAACGAUGAGUGCUAAGUGUUAGGGGGUUUCCGCCCCUUAGUGCUGCAGCUAACGCAUUAAGCACUCCGCCUGGGGAGUACGGCCGCAAAGGCUGA
rnacentral:rRNA from 1 species